rnacentral:sRNA from 1 species
CAGCGCUCGGCAUGGCGGAGCCGGAUCUGGAGUGCGAGCAGAUCCGUCUGAAGUGUAUUCGUAAGGAGGGCUUCUUCACGGUGCCUCCGGAACACAGGCUGGGACGAUGCCGGAGUGUGAAGGAGUUUGAGAAGCUGAACCGCAUUGGAGAGGGUACCUACGGCAUUGUGUAUCGGGCCCGGGACACCCAGACAGAUGAGAUUGUCGCGCUGAAGAAGGUGCGGAUGGACAAGGAGAAGGAUGGCAUCCCCAUCAGCAGCUUGCGGGAGAUCACGCUGCUGCUCCGCCUGCGUCAUCCGAACAUCGUGGAGCUGAAGGAGGUGGUUGUGGGGAACCACCUGGAGAGUAUCUUCCUGGUGAUGGGUUACUGUGAGCAGGACCUGGCCAGCCUCCUGGAGAAUAUGCCAACACCCUUCUCGGAGGCUCAGGUCAAGUGCAUUGUGCUGCAGGUGCUCCGGGGCCUCCAGUAUCUGCACAGGAACUUCAUUAUCCACAGGGACCUGAAGGUUUCCAACUUGCUCAUGACCGACAAGGGCUGUGUGAAGACAGGUGGGUGCAACUUGGGCCAGGCCCUGUCCCUAGAUGGCAGCUUGUCAGCCCUCACUUGGUGACACACACUCCCCUCUCUGCUGCAGCGGAUUUCGGCCUGGCCCGGGCCUAUGGUGUCCCAGUAAAGCCAAUGACCCCCAAGGUGGUCACUCUCUGGUAAGUCCUUCUGAAGCAUGGUGGCCCCUGGGGACCAGGCCUGUCUGGUGGAGGUCUCCUUGGGGAUGUCAGGCCGAAGCUGCAAGUGGCCUUGGGAAUGUUAAGCUACAGGGUCUGUGCACACUCAGAAACGUUGGGUCUAGGACAGCCUCCAGGACACAGCAGGGCUCUGCCACAAAAUGGUGAGAGACGGGCUCAGUGGCGUCAAGGGCCUGCCUAGAUGAGACACACCUCGCCUUGAGAGCUGGAAACACACCGUGGCCGUGAAACCAUCUCUGGAGGGAAGGCUGCUUCACGGACUGAAGGACAGGCAGCUUGCAUGCUUUCCCUGGUUCUUCCUCCUGGAUACUUUUAGCCAAACAGGGUCAUGCUUAGCCAGGGCUGAAUAUCAGAGUUGGUCAGAAUCAGGUCAGGACCCCAGUGUCAUGUACUCCCCAUCUGAGAAUGGGUUGGUAGUGGCUGGUGUGGCUGUGUGCCGAGGGUCCGUGGUCCCUGCGACUCUCAGGACACCGCUGCACGUGACAGCUCUCGCCCCCGGCAACCAUUGCUGUGUGCGCCACCUGGAUCUGCAGGGCCUGGGGCAGAGGGUGGUCCAAGUUGGGACAGGUUUCCGGGCCACCACAGGCUCUCGGGGAGGCUGUGUCCUGUGGAGGCCUCGGCUUGGGGAGAGGAGCCGGCCGUAUUGAGGUGGGUGCUUCUGUGUGUAGGUACCGAGCCCCUGAACUGCUGUUGGGAACCACCACGCAGACCACCAGCAUCGACAUGUGGGCUGUGGGCUGCAUACUGGCCGAGCUGCUGGCGCACAGGCCUCUUCUCCCUGGCACUUCCGAGAUCCACCAGAUUGACUUGAUCGUGCAGCUGCUGGGCACGCCCAGUGAGAACAUCUGGCCGGGCUUUUCCAAGCUGCCACUGGUCGGCCAGUACAGCCUCCGGAAGCAGCCCUACAACAACCUGAAGCACAAGUUCCCAUGGCUGUCGGAGGCCGGGCUGCGCCUGCUGCACUUCCUGUUCAUGUACGACCCUAAGAAAAGGGCGACGGCUGGGGACUGCCUGGAGAGCUCCUAUUUCAAGGAGAAGCCCCUACCCUGUGAGCCGGAGCUCAUGCCGACCUUUCCCCACCACCGCAACAAGCGGGCCGCCCCAGCCACCUCCGAGGGCCAGAGCAAGCGCUGUAAACCCUGAUGGUGGGCCUGGCACACGCCUGUAUUCCCACACCAGGUCUUCCGAUCAGUGGUGUCUGUGAAGGGUGCCGCGAGCCAGGCUGACCAGGCGCCCGGGAUCCAGCCCAUCCCCUUGGCUGGGAACAUCCUCCACUGACUUCCUCCCACUGUCUGCCCUGAACCCACUGCUCCCCCCAGAAAAAGGCCGGGUGACACCGGGGGGCUCCCAGCCCGUGCACCCUGGAAGGGCAGGUCUGGCGGCUCCAUCCGUGGCUGCAGGGGUCUCAUGUGGUCCUCCUCGCUAUGUUGGAAAUGUGCAACCACUGCUUCUUGGGAGGAGUGGUGGGUGCAGUCCCCCCGCUGUCUUUGAGUUGUGGUGGACGCCGGCCUGGGAUGAGCGGGCCCAGAAGACCUUCGUAUCCCCUCUCAGUCGCCCGGGGCUGUCCGGUGCAUGGGUUGGCUGUGGGGACCCCAGGUGGGCCUGGCAGGACUCCAGAUGAGGACAAGAGGGACAAGGUAUGGGGUGGGAGCCACAAUUGAGGAUACCCCGAGACUACCAGGAGAGCCCUGGGCUGGAGGCUGAGCUGCAUCCCUGCUCCCCACAUGGAGGACCCAACAGGAGGCCGUGGCUCUGAUGCUGAGUGAAGCUGUAGGCUCUUGUUGGAUAAAAGCUUUCUUAACAGA